UACGUAGGGUGCGAGCGUUGUCCGGAAUUACUGGGCGUAAAGAGCUCGUAGGUGGUUUGUCGCGUUGUUCGUGAAAACCGGGGGCUUAACCCUCGGCGUGCGGGCGAUACGGGGCAGACUUGAGUACUGCAGGGGAGACUGGAAUUCCUGGUGGUAGCGGUGGAAUGCGCAGAUAUCAGGAGGAACACCGGUGGCGAAGGCGGGUCUCUGGGCAGUAACUGACGCUGAGGAGCGAAAGCGUGGGGAGCGAACAGG
rnacentral:rRNA from 1 species